GGUGUGCUAGUCUAGUAGCGUGGACAGCCGCAGCCGCAGCCGCAGGAGUGUUCUCCUCGUCUCAUCUGAAGUCCGUUCCGCCUCCGCCCCCGGCUCCGGCUGCUGCUCGCCGGGGAAUUCCAGAAUCGUAUCCUCGUGCCCGCAAACCGUAGGUACCAUUGCCCACAGAGCAGGCCUUCCCUACUCCUCUAAGGCUGCAUUACCUCUACGAAAUGCCAUGGCCUUCCUAGCCUCCUAGCUAGGGUUUGCUGUGCCUCCCGCCGUCGCCGAUGUUCGAGGAGAUGGCCGCCGAUUCCAGCAUGGGCAUGGGGAUGGGCUUCCACCAGGGGGCCUCCUCCUUGCACCACCACCACCAUAACAUGCUCUCCUUUCAAUCCAAUCCCGACUCCGCCCCCGCCCCCGCGCCCCCUGCCCCUCCCGUCUUCCUCCCCUCCCCCAACGCUCCCGUGCUCCAGGGGGCGUCGCCCAAGUACAAGUUCGUCACCGGCUCACCCUCCGACUGGACCCCCUAUGAGCUCUCCAUAUUCCAGGAGGGCCUAGCCAGGUAUGCUCGUGAGCCCACCAUUAUGAAAUACAUCAAGAUUGCUGCUAUGCUGCCCACUAAGACCAUCAGGGACGUCGCGUUAAGAUGCCGGUGGACUGCUGGAAAGGAGAGUAGGAGGAGGAAACCUGAUGAAUUCUAUGCAGGGAAAAGGAUAAGGGACUUGAAGGAGAAAAUGGUUGUUUCUACCUCACUAGCUAAUUUUCAGAUGGCACCUCCAAAUAAUUUAGUCCCCUUCUCGAUGUCGAUGCAUCAUCCAGGUCAGAAUAGCCUGGCUGCAAAUGAAGCAGUCCCUGUUUUAGAUAAUGCAACUCAGCAUCUUCUGGAGGAAAAUAACCAGUUACUCAAUCAGAUCUCUGCAAAUAUUGAAACUUUCAAGCUGGGGGAGAACAUGGAUCUCUUUCUACGUACGAAUAACAAUAUUCGAACAAUUUUGAAAAGGAUCUUGCAUGGCAGCUAUCAGAUCAAAGGAGCUGUAAAUAUGAACCGAAAUGAGUGAGACGCCUGGUGUCAUGGGUCAGAUGCGUCCCUUGCCAAAACCUGUAAAUGAAGGCCAACUAAAUUCACUUCUUCAACUGGAUAGAGUGGUUGCCUCUUAUGGUGAUAUACUACAUAACACUCAUAUGAAGGAUGAAGCAUGAAGUUAAUGUAAGAUAAAUUGGGGGCGAUGAGACAUAACCAUCCUGUAGCGAAAAAGAUGACAUGAGCUUUUGCCUGAUCUGUACAAAUGCCACGAAGAAGACCUACAAUGUAGAAUUAGAUGUUAUACUGACCAAGGCGGCAUGGAAUAAGUAAUGAUGCCUUCGAGGGAUGUGUUGUUUCCUUUUUUGGUGCGAACUAAUUGCUUCGGCUGCUGGCUGUCGAUCCUUGAUUCUUGGGAAAGUGAAGGGAAUGUAAAACGGGACGAGGUGAGGGUGUGGUUUAUCAUCCUUUUGUGUUGUAAUGAGAGCUGACUUGAUUCAGAUGGCUGUAAAUAUCGGGUGUGGUCGUCGCAUGGGACGUUUUACUUGUCUGAUGAUGAUGUUCAAACAAGAAGAUAUCGUUCUACUGUUCUCAUUGUACAACAAUUGAUUCUUAAGUUUGGCUUACUUAUUUGAGUACUGUA